rnacentral:rRNA from 1 species
AUUGAACGCUGGCGGCAGGCCUAACACAUGCAAGUCGAGCGGAUGAAGGGAGCUUGCUCCUGGAUUCAGCGGCGGACGGGUGAGUAAUGCCUAGGAAUCUGCCUGGUAUUGGGGGAUAACGUCCGGAAACGGGCGCUAAUACCGCAUACGUCCUGAUGUAGAAAGUGGGGGAUCUUCGGACCCCACGCUAUCAGAUGAGCCUAGGUCGGAUUAGCUAGUUGGUGGGGUAAAGGCCUACCAAGGCGACGAUCCGUAACUGGUCUGAGAGGAUGAUCAGUCACACUGGAACUGAGACACGGUCCAGACUCCUACGGGAGGCAGCAGUGGGGAAUAUUGGACAAUGGGCGAAAGCCUGAUCCAGCCAUGCCGCGUGUGUGAAGAAGGUCUUCGGAUUGUAAAGCACUUUAAGUUGGGAGGAAGGGCAGUAAGUUAAUACCUGGCUGUUUUGACGUUACCAACAGAAUAAGCACCGGCUAACUUCGUG